rnacentral:rRNA from 1 species
AUUGAACGCUGGCGGCAUGCCUUACACAUGCCAGUCGAACGGCAGCACGGGUGCUUGCCCCUGGUGGCGAGUGGCGAACGGGUGAGUAAUACAUCGGAACAUGUCCUGUAGUGGGGGAUAGCCCGGCGAAAGCCGGAUUAAUACCGCAUACGAUCUACGGAUGAAAGCGGGGGACCUUCGGGCCUCGCGCUAUAGGGUUGGCCGAUGGCUGAUUAGCUUGUUGGUGGGGUAAAGGCCUACCAAGGCGACGAUCAGUAGCUGGUAUGAGAGGAAGACCAGCCACACUGGGACUGAGACACGGCCCAGACUCCUACGGGAGGGAGCAGUGGGGAAUUUUGGACAAUGGGCGAAAGCCUGAUCCAGCAAUGCCGCGUGUGUGAAGAAGGCCUUCGGGUUGUAAAGCACUUUUGUCCGGAAAGAAAUCCUUGGCCCUAAUACGGUCGGGGGAUGACGGUACCGGAAGAAUAAGCACCGGCUAACUACGUG